rnacentral:rRNA from 1 species
AUGGUGCUGGAGACAAGCCCACCGCGGCUGGAGAUGGCUGCUGAGCUGCAUAUGCUCGUUUCCGGCCAAGGAGAUACCGUGCACCUCUUGGACAAUGGUAGGGUGUUGAUGCUGGUUCACCGCAUGCUCUCGGCGACCCUGGAUGAUUUGUGGCCGAGCUAUAACCUGUCACUCUCGGUGCCUAUCAAUGUUUUCCCCUCCGGCUCCAUCACCGGUGACGCCAUCUACUCGAGCUUCGAAUUCCAAGAGAGGUACAAGGUUGAGGCUUACCAUCUGGCAGAUAGAAGCAUCACGCCUGCUUCCAGCUCCAUCCUGGAUGGCUUGUUAACGCAGCCGCAAACUCUUGUGGACUGCCUUAAAUUCAGCUGUAAUCGCUGA